GGCGGCCGCUCCCCGUGUCAGUCCUGGAGGCAGGAUGGCUUUGAUGUUGGACGCGGAGUAUCUUCUGGAAGCCAGCAGAACAGUCUGUGUGUGUGGACUCCACUGACCCACUUGCUGGCACAUUUUACUUCUUUCUUUCCCUUUUUCUUUUCUUUUCCUUUUUUUUUUUUUUUUCCGUGGGAGAGUUACUUCAAGUUGUGUUUGGAGCUGACGUGAGUGAAAGGCUGGUCAUGUGCUCGGGUAAGAGAAGUUUCUGGGCUUGGCGGUGGGUGGGCAGGGAGACGCGGUGCGGCCGGGUCACGGCGGAGGAAGGGGGGGCGGGCGAAGAGCAGGAGCCGUCGUCUGGGGGGCCGCGGGGCUCGCCGGAUGGAACUCGGUCGCGCCCCGGCCGUGGUGGCCCGGGGGUGGCGCUCCGGAGGACGAAGUGCCGGCGGUCACAGUGGUCGGGAGUCGCUCUGGGCCGAGAGGCGGGCGGUGGGACGGGAAGGGCUUCUGGCCGCUGUGUGUCCGAGGGGGUGGACGCCCGCGUGUGUGUGUGUGUGUGUGUGUGUGUGUGUGUGUGCGCGUGUGCGUGUGGUGGGGCCCCGGCCGCUCUUGCGGAGCAGGGGUGCACGCGUCCUUGGGGGAGAGCGGCAGAGCCUGGGGCUCGGUUGCUCCCGGUGGUGUGGCUGCUGGGAGGGGGGGGCUCGGGAUCUGGGGGGGGGGCUCCCCCGCGGGCAGGGGACAGGGGAGGGGAGCCAGGUGCAGGCAGCGCUGCGGCUGUCCCGGCGCCCGGCUCCCACCGCGGUGGCGCUUGGCCGGGUGCCCACGUCUGGUUUGAAAUCAGCGCCACCGGCCCAGGCUUGCCCAGGGACCUGGCAGCGAGGAGCCGGCAUAAACACUGGAAAGUUGGAAGGGCUUCCUGAGCUCACAAGGAGCCCUCAGUUGCAGGCACAGGGGAUGAGGGAGCGAUUUGUCCUGAGGUCUGGGUGAGCCAGGGCUGUCGGGAGGCAGUGGCACGUCUCGUCGGGGGCCGGAGCUGAGGCCGGGGUGGGCUGGCUUCCCAGACGGCAUCGCUCGUCUUGCCACUGACUCGAUGUUGACUCCCGGUUCUGUCCUCUCUUAACGCCGGGUGGCCUUGCCUCACCUGCGCGAGCCUCCGUUUCCUUGUCUGUAAAAUGGGGCGGUCGAGGGGGUCGUACGGGCAUUGGGCUGAGCUGAGGGAGAGCUGUGGCCUCCUGGUUUCUUCGGGGGGGGGGGGCGCCAGGCCGCCAGGGUUCACGUCCCUGUUGAACACUUCCUGGCUGUGAGGCUCGGUUUUCUCAUGGCAAAUGGACGCUGCGUCCGUCUCUACCCCAGAGGUGGUCGUGUGUGGCUUACGGAGGGGGGGCUAAUAAGUGGUCCCUGGGCCACACCCCCGUGGAAGCUGUGACAGUGUGCAGGUUGUUGAACCCCCAUUGUCUUGUCCAUACGGUGUGAGUGCCUUGCGGGGGGGGGGGGGCCUGGGAAAAAGCCAGGACCGGCCUGCGCAGGGCCCCUGUGGGCUGGAGUCGGGGAGGGGGGCUCCGUUAGCCUAGACCAUAAACUUGGAUUUAAGUUAGCUCCACCUUGGUCUCCACCGAUUUUUCUCUUCUUCCUUGUCGAGAACGUUUCUGUUUUGUAGACUUGGAAACUACGGUCCUCAGCCCUAGGCUCUGCUUGCAUCUGGGCCUGGGCUGGGGUCCCCCGGGCUGUCCCAGCGCGUUCCGCCCCGUCCCGCCCCAAGUGUGGGCCGAGCACCCCAACUGCCCCGUGUGGCCUGGGGGUUGGGCGGGCAGGACUGGCUCUCCCGCCGAGGGUGGCAGUCAUCCUGUGUGUGUAAGUGACACCGGAUGCUGGGCCGGUGGCUGGCUCGGGGCCUCUCCUCCCGGGCCAGCAGGAGCCGGCGGGGAGUUCCCCGGGUGUCCAGGCCAGCUGCCCGCCGUCCGGUUGUCCUCAGGCCUCUCCUGGGGACCUCAGCCAAGGCCCCGGUAGCAGGGGGCCCCACCAGUGCCCCCUUGCUGCCCCCAGGCCCUCUGCACCCACUUGGGUCCGCUGCAGCCGCCCUGCCCUGAGGGUCUCAGACACUUGACCCCCCUCCCACUUGCCCUGAGGUGCAGGUGCAUGGAGCUGAACACACACUCACAUGCACCCAGAUGAGUGUGUGUAGAACCUGUGAGGUCUGAAUAGCCCGUUUCCUGGUGAUGCUGCUGGUCUCGAACGGCCGUUCUGUCGGGGCGACACCACUGGGGGAGGCUGGCUGAAGGGUGCACGGGGUCGCGCUGCAUCGUUUCUGACGGCUGCGCACGAACCUACAGCGAUCUAAAGAGAUAAACAGCAUAGGCCGGGGCCAGGCCGUCCUGGGUUCGAAUCCAGCCCUGCCUGUGGGCAGCUCUGUGAAUUAGGGCAAGGGGCGUAGCCCCUCCAGGCCUCAGUUUCCUCGUAGCGUUUGGUGCUUCGGAGGGCUUGAGUGACGGUGAGGUGAGGUGAUGCGCGCCGGGUGCCUAGAAAGGUGCCAGCAGCACGUGCUGUCGCGAUGUGAUCAUCCCUGACGGGUUCACCCCGCGCUGGCUCGUUCCGUGCCCGGAUCAGCCGUGGGAUGGGAGGCCGCUGUGUGAUCCCCACUUCUCAGAUGAGGAAACUGAGGCUCAGGCCAGGGGACCCACCCAAGGGCACAGAGUUUGUAAGGGCUGGAGCUGGGACUCACCCCGGCCAGAGCCCGGGUGUGGAGGUUCUUUGACUGAGUGGCCCCAGGGAUGUUCCUUGCCCUCUCUGAGCCCUGAUCCCCUCCUCCUUCUCUCCUCACCUGCAGGCUGGGCUUAGGAGGUUGGGAUAGGGGAUGGUGGCUGGGCUCAUGAACUGUGGAAGCCAGAGAGCCCUGACCUCUGGGUCCUUCUCUCACUUCCUGGGCCCUCCCGGAGCCUGCCCCCUGUCAGCCACCUCUGAGGCCUGUGGGUCACUCCUGUGACAGCCAAACUCACUUCCUCUCUGAGUAACUCUCUCCUCCUUGCUCUGUCCUCCGGCAGCAUGGUUUCCUUUCUUGCUGUUCCCUGCGGUAGGUGCUGGUUUCUCUCGGACCCCUUCCCACCUCCCGCAGUGGUGAGAGGGCCUUCGGGGUGUAGCCCGCCCACCCUAGAGGGAUGGGGUUAUCCCCAGCUGGUGCUUAAGCAUGAGAAAUGCGUUGCUGUUCAGCCAAAGCUAAUCCAAGGCUAGACGGGUCUCCAGAGGUGCCUGAGGGGGGGCUUGGAGGUUUUUUGUCUCCCUCACAGCUGACUGGUGACUUGGGCCUUCGGGCGUCCCGGGAGUGCCAGGGACGGCUUGCUCUUCUGCCUAAGGAUUGGGAGGGGUCCCGACCAUCCCGGGCUGGGGACCAGGGGGCACCGGCAGGGCCUGAACCGAGAGGGGCAUCCACGGUCAUGUCAAGCGGUGGAGGCGGUGUCUGGGGCUCGGGGGCACCAGUCAUGGCUUCUUAGGGUCUCAGCUUCUGGGCUUUGUUGGGCAGAGCCUGGAGGCCAGGGAGGGGGGCUGAGUAGGGGGCCUUACGGUCUCAUGAGCCUCUUGGCUGUUUCUUGGAAGCUCCAAUCAUGCUCCUGCCCCUGGACCUUUGUAUUUCCUGUACCCUCACCCUUCAGAGUGGGGCCCCGACCUCCCCAAAGUCACUGCCAUUGCUAUGUGCCAUCAUCACUUGGGAUUUGUUGUAUAUUCAUCGCCGUGUCCCCCCCCCCGCCCCCCACCGACCCCUUCACCCAGGAUCUGUUCAUCUUGGUCACUACUGUGUCCCCAGCACUGGGCACAUCUUAGGUGCUCAGCAGACACUCAUGCCUGACUCAGUGUCCCCCACAGGCUGUGGAUGUGGGCCCGUCCCCUGGCGGUGAAUGAGGCCUUUCUGGGGAUGGAUAUGCUUCAACUGUGUCUCCGGGUACGUCACCCCCCCCCACCCCCACCCCCAGGAAUCUGGCUAGGGAGACUCAGGCCCAGGGGCUGGAAUUCACUUGAGUUCACCUCCCUUCGCCCCUGGAGUUCUGUAUCUCUGUAUCUGGGGGGUUGAGAAUGCCUUUUGGGGAUUCGUGGAAAACUAGGGGCCUUUGAAAAGCAGUUCUGGUGUUUGUGUUCAAGAGGGCUCCGCAGUAACACAUCGGGCACCUCCAGAAGGUCUGGACCUCCUAGGUCAGAGAGGUGGAGGUCGUGAGCCAGGAAAGUGGGGGGCCUGACGGCAUUGGGGUGCAGGGGAGGGGUGUUGACGGCAUCAGUUUCAAGUCCUGACGGCUGACGGGGCAGGGCGACCAUUGAGCACACUUUGUGGAAUUCUUCUAACGAUCCUCUGAGGCACAGAGAGGGUAAGCACCUUGCCCAAAGACACACAGCUGCAGACACACAGUAUUAACUGGUAAAUGGCAUUUUGUAUGCAGCCGUGGGAAGGGGCCCCCUCCCUCCUCUUCGAGAUGUGAGGCCCGGAGAUGCCCAAAGUCUUCUGGAAGGCCUGGCGUUGGUUUCUCAGUGUGGCUCACAAGCUAGAAGACUAGAGGAGCCGCCCCCCCCACCCCCCUUCCUCCUAGUUGGGUAUUUGCAUGACAAUGAGCCCUUUGUCCCUGGGUCCAGCCUCCUUCCCAGGCUAAUAACAUAAUUCUCGGCCUAUGAUGUCAUAAUGGGCCCUUUCUGCUGGGGCUGGAGGCUGGGUGGGCAGCUGUGUGGGCUGGGCCCCGCCGGUAAUAAAUAGAGUCGUGAUUAUGGGGGGGGGUGGCGGACGCGCUCUCCUUGCAGGACCUUGUGACAUCCUUCGGGAGUGGGAUUUGUUUCCAUUUGACACAGAAGCAAACAGAUUGCGUUUGUUCAGCUCCCCGGCUGAACCACUGUGCGCCUCGUCUUGGCCUGUGAAAUGGGGGUGAGUCAUCCGUGGCUGGCCCUCUCUCGGAGGCGUAGGUGUGAGAGUCCCUCGCUUCCUGUAAACGUGAGGGAGGCCCUUGUGCCCAGCGGCCCCGUGGCAGGACCGCUCAGAGAAAGUGGGCCCGAACCCCGGGCCCGGGGCCCGGCAGGGAGCGAGCUCGCUAUCGGUGGGCAACGUCAGGAAAGGCCGGGGCCUGCGCAGUGGGCUGAAUGGCAGCCCCCCCUCCCAAAAAAAAAGAGAUUCGCACGCGUUCAUGCCCGUCUCCUCUAAAUGGGACCUGCUUCGGAAAAAGGGUCUUUGCAGACGUGUCUUGAGAUGAGGUCAUUUGGAUUCCCCGAGCGAGCCCUGUGUCAGUGACCAGUGUCCUUGUGAGGGACGGAAGAGAGAGCACAGAGGAUGGCUGUGUGAAGACAGGCAGAGACCGCAGUGAUGUGGCCAGAAGCUGGAGGAGGCCGGAGGGAUCCUCCCCGGACGCCUUCGGAGGGAGCAUGGCCUGCCCACACCUUGAUGUUGGACACCGGGCCUCCGGAGCUGGGAGAGAAUAAAUUUCCGUUGUUGUAAGCCACCUGGAUUGUGGUCAUUUGUUACAGCAGCCCUAGAAGCUCAUAGGGCCAGGGACCCCCCCACCCUUCCGCGUCCCAGGCCGAGGGGCCAGGACCUAGUGCGGUCUCCUCCCUGUCGGAGGAGUCCGGAACCCGCCUCCCUCGCCCAGAACCCAAAUCACAGACCCCGGAAACUGCGUGUUGCCUGCUGCCAGCCGUCCUUCCCGCUCAGGCGUCCCUGCUAAGGAGGACGUGACCCAGGAGGCCGGAGGCUCCCCGGAUUCCGUGCUGGGCCCUCCCCCCCCCCAAGCCCCGAACACUCAUUCCCCACAUGCCUGGCCACUCACCCAGCACCUGGGUCGCAGUCAUCCCCCUCCCCCGCAAGCUGCCUUAUUUGCCGGGUGCCCUUGACAGGGGGAGACCCCGAGGCCCAGACAGGGCACGCUGCGGCCCCUUGGUGGUGACGGCCUCCGGAGUCCCAGCCACGGCUGCUGGAUGGGCCGGCAUCGCGGCUUCCAGGAGGAAGGGAUCAGGGCCCCGGGCCACAGUGAGAGCGGUGGGGGAGCCGGCGGUGUAAACGUGAAUCAGUUCUUGGGGCGUGCUGGCCUGCUGUAGGCGACACCCCAGGAUCUGACUGUGAGUCGACCCCUCCUCGGCCUCAGUUUCUCCAUUUCCAAAGUGGCCUUCGAGCUUCGGCUCAGAGUCUGCAGGGAUGCUGUCAGAGGGCUCAUGGAUUCAGCAAGCACUUACGGGCCUUACCUUUGGGGUUGUGGGGAGGUGGGAAGUAAGCAGCGGGGACCCUGGGAAUGAGGAUUCCGGGUCCCGAUGAGGGACGUAGCAGAGCCAGGGGGCUGGGGUGGGGUUGAAGAUGCUGCUCCCUUUUCCUCCCGGGACCCCGGGGUGGUGCUUUGCGGCUGGCCCGGGGGGCCGGCCAGGUUCACGUGGAGAUGGCCACGGCCCAUCGGUAGCGACUUGUGGUUGCCUCCAGCUGGCAGGACUUGGCCUGGACCCGUGAGCGGUGAUGUUGGGUACAAGGCCUGUGAGGCCCCAACCGCAGCCUGAUCAGGGAGAGGCAGAGGUGUCCCCCAGCCUGAGCUGGGAGGCUGGGGACACUGGCAGUGGAUUCCCAGGACGUAAUGGGUAAGAGGUGGGUGCUGGAGAGGCCUAGCCUGGCAGGCAAGUGACUUAAGCUCUCUGUGCCUCAGUCUUGCUUCCAGGGAUAUGGCGAUGGUGAAAUAAACUGAUGAGAGUGAGCACCGUGUUAGCAGUUAGCCACGGUGAUGAGUGCACGGCGCUCACCUUGGGUCUGUUAUCAUGACUGCUCAGGACCUGGGAUCUGGAGGUGGAGUGGGCUCAUCUUUCCAUGGUCCUGUUCCUGCCUGUGGGACACCGAAGAGCCCUCUUUGCCCCCAGAGCCUCAGUCUCCCCAUCUGCGAAAUGGGAGCUGUAACCAACUUGUGGCUACAUGGAGGUCGGAGACAAAAGAGGAUGGUGGGAGAAGUCAGCGCCCGUGGGGUCAGGGCUGAGGGGUCAGGGUCUCUACCUGCUCCUGGUUUGAGCCUUGGCCGCCCUCCAGGCCGGGAAACAGGCUCCAGCAGGGAUGGGGCCCAAGGUGUGUCUGUGGGUGCAGUCUGCAAGGCCUCCUGGCUUCGGACAAUGCCCCUGUCUGAAAGAGGGGCCACGGCAGCUCUCCACCUCGGGAUAUUCCUCCAGAAGCCGAGGCCAGAAGCCAGAGGACGUUGUGGGUGGGGGCGUGCCUGCUGCUGGGGAGUGACCCAGAUCUGAGUCAGCUAGGAAGGGGCAGCCUCUGUCCGCAAAGUGGCUGCCUGCCGGCUCCCCCGUUAGGGCCACUGAUAGCUCAGGCCUGGCCAGGAGACUCUGUUUCUUCAGGGUGAGAGACCGCGUAGGCCUAUCCCAGGCUCCUGUCCGGCCCCUUCCUCCUAGGCUGAAUUUGUCCGGGGAUCCCAUCUAUUUCCUCUUGCUUCCUUCUGGCCGGCUUGGGAGAUCUCCCUACCUGUACAGGUGAGGGGACCAGAGACUGCAGAUCUGAUUCCAGGGAGAUCCGUGGCUUCGAGCUGGGGUUUUCAGGGGGUCUCUGUCUUAGGUGUGUUGGUUGCAAUUGGCAGACUCUCUGUUCCUCCUGCAUUUAGCACAAAAGGAUAUCAGGGUGAGCUUCAGGCAUGGUUGGAUCCAGGGGCUCAGGUGACAAGGGGCUCCCCGUGUCCGAUCCCUGGUAGCCUAAGAAUAACGAUCACAACUUAGCCCAGUGGAAGGUAAGCCUUGUUGUCCCCACUGUUACAACAGAAAUCGUGGGAGUGAACUUUACGGGCUCAGCUUGAGAGUUAAGCCCUUCCCCAAACCGGUGACGGCGGCUGUGGUUCUGGUGGUGGCCCUGGUGGUGCUCCUGAGACUGUGCUCAUUGGCCAGACCCGGGAGGCAGAGUCAGCCUCCCUCAGAGCCCAGAAUCGAGGGGUCGUAGCCCCAAGGACAUAAGGGUACAGUUUGCAAGCAGCGGGUGCUGGGUGGGCGAAGACAACAGCUGCUGGCCACGGCCGGCUCACUCCGUGUGUUGGACACGAGCCAGCUCGGGGUCCCUGCCCAGCCCCCCUUUCACGGCCAGUGUGUGUCCUUUGGGGAGGGGGCGUGUUAUUUAAGACUCACUGGGUAAGUGGGCCCAGCCCCUCCCACUCCCUGUUUUAAUUAGGGGCCUCUCAGGUCCCCCUCCAAGCCAUGUGGGAGGACGUUCCUGCCUGUCACCGGCCUCCCCGCUCCCCAAGCUCCCCUGGGCUUUGCUGGGCCCUCUCUUGUGGUUUCCAGCUGACCACAUGUCAGAAGCCACAGGUCACAUCCUGGCAGCCCACGGGCUGUAUUUGGAUGUCAGACUGAUUUAUUGGGUUGGGUUUAUGGUCCAUGUUUUUGAAAUAAAAACUGUAAAUUGAGGGAUGUCUCAAAGUCAGACUUUCUUUGCCCGAAAGAAUUGGACGCUGUGAUCCCCUGGGCCCCGUUCUCCAGGGGCCAGGAUGCCCGGCUGGGGUUGAGCUGCGGCCACCCCCUGACACAGGCAGCCCCCACCUGCCCCUCUCCUCCUCCGUGAGACUCCGGCCUGGCGUGGUAUCCUCAGCCCUCCUCGCUGUUUCCCCCUCCCUAUUUCCGGCCUGGGACCUCUCCCCCCACCGGAGCCUGGUUAAUCUUGCUCCCUCCGCGGACUGGUGAUCGGAUCCCAGAAGCGUGCUCCCGCUCCGGGCCCUGAGGCCUGUGUGCUCGCUCGUCUGCGGGCUCCUGGCUGCAGGGCCCGGAGGGCCUUUUGGGUUCUUGAUCCUUGACACUCACUGAUCAGCGAAAGCCCUCGGGGAAAUCGCAGGGGCUGCUGUGAUCCACAUUUGAGCCUUGGAGGGAGCUGGUCGAAAUGGGCCCUUCCCCCGCGGCCUGGCACCUGGGUGGCAUUGGUGGAAGGUGGGGAGGGGGGAUGAUGCGAGGGGGGAGCUGCUGGGGGGGGGGUGGGCUCCCAGCCCCGGGCGCCGCUGCUGGCGAACUAUUCUUAGCAGCGGGAACAUUUGUCCUCCUUCACACGUGGUGGAGGACGUCCCCCAGAGAUCUGCCCCGAAAUACUCAGGGCGACCCCAUAAAUUCCUCAGAAAGCCGUCCUGGGGGGCCCAGCGUGCGUGGAGGCGGGACGGGAGGAGGCGUUUCCGGCAGCUGCGCGGCUGCGGACACGUUUGCCAGAUGUUGCGCAGGGAAGUUUGUGGGAACCCGGAGUCUGCCGCGCGCGCCCCCUCGCCGCGGCCCCCUCCACCCUCCUCCGGGUCCUGGUGAGUGAUGGGCGGAGCCGGCAGACGGCCAGCCCCUCCCUGUGUCCCCGUGGCUUUCGGGGGGCCUUUCAACCCUCUCCUGACGCUGCCUGGGUUGGGGGCGCCGUGGGCUACAGACAACGAGGCCUUGACUGUGGUCCCCCUCAGUGCCUGGCCGCGAGGGGCUGCUGCCCUGUGCCGGGACCCCUGGCAGGGCCUUGGGCGGCACCGGCCCUUCCACGGGGCCCCCAGGGCAGCGGAAGCCACCACAGAGGAUACCAGCCCAGCUGGUUGCCUUGGCUAGCAACCAGGGAGGCCUCCCUGGAGGAGGUGUGCGCUUUGCUUCUGUUUUGUUUUUGUUAUUACUUAAUUUUUAAGUUGUGGUAAAAUACACAUCACAAAAACGUUCAGGUCUCGGGCAUUUUUAAAGGGGCCAUUACUCCGCAUACCCCUUCCUCCAGGCCCUAGCCAUCACCCCUCUACUCUCCGUCCCUAGGAGAUGACUAGGCCGGGCGCCUCCUGUAAGCGCAAUCGUACAGCGUUUUUGCCCUUUUGUGUGUCUGGCUCACUUCAUUCAGCAGAAUGUCCAGAGCGGUGAUCUGUGGUCCAUUGACUCCUUGGUUGUUGGUUCGUCGCCGUCCAGGCAGCGAUGUGGACGGAUCCGGGACCCCGAGCCCCGCAGCUUUUGAGAUCCCGGCGCCCUGGAUCCGUAUGUGGUCGCCCCGCCCCCUGUGUGGACGAGCGCUCACUGCGAGCGGGUACCACGCUGAGCCCCGACACGGCUCGCCGAGUCAGGUCCCUGCUUCCCACUCUGCAGUCCGCUCUGUUCCAAGCCCCCGGGGCAGAGGGUCGAGCGCUUUGCCCAGUCGCACAGCUGGUGCCAGCGUCCCCCCCGCCCCCCUCCCCCCACUGCCCAGACACCAGCUUCUUCUCUGGUUUCCCCCUCUUCCCCCUCUGCAGAAAAAAUUGCUGUUUGGAAGGCCAGAUGGAAAACACGUCCCUCCCGGGGCGCUCAGAACCUAAUGAGGAAGAGCCAGGAAAAAUCCAGCGUAAUGUUUGUGAAAUACCCAAGAGGGAGGGUGCGUCUCGAGGCAAGGGUUCUCGUAGGGGACCCUGUGACCUGGCGUGCGGGAGGGUUUGUCAUGACUGUGGCUUCUCUCUCUCUCUCUCUUCCUUUUAAAAUUAAGAGGGGGAGGGGGAAGGGAGUCCAGGAGGAAGCGAUUUUGAGCAGAUCUGGCUAUGGCGGGGGAGCAGGGCUGGGCGGCCGAGCUGGCCACAGCCCAGUGGACACGAAUGUACCAACUAAAUCGGAGACCGAAACGGGCCUCCUCGGUGGCCCUCUUCUGCUCACUUCGGAGGGUGUGUGGGGCUGGACCAGGGUGCCUUCUGGCUGCCUGACCUUGGGUGAGCGAGUUCACCUCUCUGAGCCUCGGUUUCCUGAUCUGUUGAGUGGGGCAGUCACGUUCGGUGAGGGAAAUCGGGGCCUUCCUCUGUGCGGGUGCCCGAAGAAUGCCACCUGUAGAACCACAGACUCUCAGGCGGGUCUGAGGACCCCGGGAGGGCACCAGGCAGCAUCUGGGGGUGGUGGAAAUUCUAGCCGAGGCUGGGGAUGCCUUUUAGGGGAGGUGCGAGCUGGCGCAGGUUGCCUGGGGCGUGUUCGGUACCAGGCUUCUGGUUUUCCCUGGAAGGUUGGCGCGGGCUGUGGCCCAGUCCCCCGUGUGGACCGGCGGCAGCUUUUGUCCCCACGACCCUCGCUGUUGUUCCCCUGAAGCGUCAGAAGUGGGCUCAGCUCAGGCCACUGCCCAUCUCACCGGAUGCCUGGACCCCAUGCUCAGCCCCCCUCGAGAAGCUCUCUGUCUGCUCUGUGUUUGGGCGCGGGUCCCCCCAGUCCUGUAUACCCUCCUAACUAGGGCCUUGCUCUGCCAUUUGGUCAGUUCACUUCACCCAGCCUCGAUUUGCUCAUCUGCAGCGUGGGGAUCGUAACAGUACCUGCCCGGUGACUAAUAUUGCCGUCGUCAUUAUGGCAAACUCGUGCCCACCCCGUGUUUCCAGUAGCCGAGAGAACUUGAGCCAUAGCCCUCAUUUUGGGGACUCUUCUGUGGGUGUUGAGCUGUUGAGAGAUCUCUUCUCGAUGAAUCUUUGCACCUGUCCCUCCCUGUUCUGAUUCUGGAGUUGGAGACUGGAGGCGGUUUUCCCCAGGGUCCUCUGUGCCCAGCAGGCUGGUACUUGGGGGGCAGUUGUGCAGGCUUGGGGAUUCUGGGGGGGUGGUGCUCGUGUGUGUCUCCCACAGUGGCUGGCGGGGAGCCUGAUGUAGGCGUAUUUGUGGAAUAAAGGCACGCUGGGCUCUGUGGACAGUGGCACAGUUAAAUUGAUGUCCAUCUGGGGCGCCUGGGUGGCCCCGUCAGUUAAGCGUCCGACUUGGGCUCAGGUCAUGAUCUCGCGGUCCGUGAGUUCGAGCCCCGCGUCGGGUUCUGUGCUGGCAGCUCGGAGGCUGGAGCCUGCUUCGGGUUCUGUGUCUCCCUUGCUCUCUGUCCCUCCCCGACUCACACUCUCUCUCUCAAAAAUAAACACUAAAGAAAAUAAAAUUGAUGUCCAUCUGUUGAUUUGUCUGUCCAUCUGUCCGUCCGUCAUUCCUCCAUCCAUGCUCCCCCCUCGCUCUCCCCUUCCUCCCUCCCUCCUUCUUCUACCACCCACCCACUCCUCCUUCCCCCUCCAUCCGUCUUCUGUUGAGUACCUGGGGUGAAGAGGUGCUUUCUGUGUUGGGACAGGACUGUCACUGGUUGGCAGGAGUUUUUGUCCAGCUGGUCCACUGCUGUGACCCCCUCCCCGCCCCCCGCCCCCAGUGCCUCAUUGGCCAGAAUGAGGCAGAGACCCCGUUUGGGAUGGGCUUGUCUUGGCUGGUCUCCAUUUAGGGGUGGGCGGGUGGCAUUUCUGAGGGCGGUGCUCUGAGCUGAGCCGUACGUGACUUUGGGCCACUCAGGGGUGCUGCUCUUUGGGCAGAGCCGUGAGCAGGCCGUGGUUGGGUCCCUGGCUCCUCCUUGGGGCGGAGAGGUCGUGUCAGGGGCAAGGAGGCCAGUUUUACUCCUGCUGGAUAGGGACCUGUGUUCUAGGGGACCCUGAAUGGUGGCUUUAAUCGCGUCAGGAUUCCGGGUGGGUUACUCCCCGACGGAGGGCACAGCUGAAGUUUCCUUUAACACAGGGGCACGAGGAGCAGGCUUGGUACAGGAGACCCCGAACGUCACCCCUGCCCAGAGGCUGGCGCCUUCCUUUCUCGUUCGGAGUGAGAAGCCUGUGUGACCUCACAGGGGCCUUGCUCACUCCACUCUUGCCAUCCCGGCCCCCUGGCCAUUCCCUCCCCACCUCAGGGCCUUUGCACUGUCUGUUCCGUCUGCCUGGAGCAGCUUCCCUACACAUCCGCAUGCUUCCUUCCUCCCCUCUCUCUGCUUCUCCAUGCCCCGCCCCGCCGCCAGCCGUCCCCUGCCUACCCUCCUCAUGCUUCUCGUUUUCCCCACACCGCAGACACCUCCCAACAUUCCUGUAAUUACUCCGGUCUGGCGUGCUAGAAUGGCAGCGCUGUGAAGGCAGGGGUCUGGGGUCUUUUACUCGCGGCCGCGUCUCAGAACCUGCCCACGAAGGUUCCUGUAAUCGUGGUUGACGGCGGGGAGCUGCCUGGGAGGGGGCAGGGACCCUGGCUUCACCCCCCUGCCCUCGUGGGCCGGGCAGGCUCCUCUGGGCUCACCGGGGCCGCCUCCCACGGGGCUCUCUGUGUCCCAGGGCUCAGCUGAGAGCCGGAUCCCCGAGCAAGGAGGCCCAGUGGAAGGUGGAGCUGGUACUUGGCCGGCUGCCCAUUUUCCCGGCACGCCAGAAACUAGAAACUCAAGGCGUAAACAGUCCGCUUCGUUCUAGCUGGUGUUUCUGCCACCUCUUAACGUCACAUCCCAGAACAGCCUCGGUGCUCACGUCCCCCGUGCUGGCUUCCGGGGCUCCGUGCUCCCGGGGCCAGGCUGUUUCUGCUCGGUACAUAUCUGUUGCAUCCUUCUGUGUGCCAGGCUCCGGAUUGUGGCAGUGGGCCGAGCAAACAUGCAUCGAGCACCUACCGUAUCGGGUUAAACGCGCGUCUCCCCCCGUAAUUCACGUCCACCUGGAAGCUGGGAACAUGAUCUUAUAUGGAAAGCGGGUCUUGGCAGAUGUGAUUAGUUAAGAUGAGGUCACAACUGGAUGAGGGUGGGCCCUGAAUCCAAUGACUGGGGUCCUUCUCGGGGGAGGACCAGCUGAGAGGUGGCCGCAAGCCAAGGGAUGCCCGGGGCUACUCGCUGCUGGACGAGUCUGGAAGGAUCCCCCCCACCCUGACCCGGAGCCUUGGGGGAGGAGCGCGGCCCUGACCCACACCUUGAUUUGGGACUUCCGGCUUCCAGAACGGUGAGAGAAUGCAUUUCUGUUGUUUUCAGCCCUUCCUUUUUUUUUUUUUUAACAUUUAAUUAUUUUUGAGAGACCGAGCGUGAGCGGGGGAGGGGCAGAGAGAGAGAGGGAGACACAGAAUCCGAAGCAGGCUCCAGGCUGUAAGCCGUCAGCACAGAGCCCGACGCGGGGCUCGAACCCACAGACCACGAGAUCAUGACCUGAGCCGAAGGCGGAUGCUCAGCCGACCGAGCCCCCCCAGGCGCCCCUCCACCAUCCUGUUUGUGGUGCAUUGUUCACCCAGGUUCCGGGAAGCUAGCGCACCUCUGUGUGCCAGGCCCUUGCAGGGGAAUCGUCAGUGGAUCCAAACAUUUGUCCAGUAGCUGCUGAGUGGUCCCACGCCCUUCUAGAGGCUGAAGAGCUGUGGCGAGGAAGGCCACGGCGUUCCCAGUGCCUCACUGUCUCUCCAGCCCGGACAGGCCGGCGGGGGCGGGGGUACGAGAGGCCAGGUCCCCUGUGUGGGGCCUGUGGCUUCUCCGAGCACCCUGGAGGGUUCUGGAGGGUUCUGGCGAGCGCGCGUGUGUGUGCACGUGCUGGGGGCUUCUCUCGGGCUGACAGCUGAGUUGUCAUUCUGAGGCUCCCCCACCUGCCACGGGUUCUGACGUCGGUGCCCACUAGUUACGGGAAAGUCUCAGGCAUUGGGUGGCGCAGACAGCUGGCCUUUCAUCUUCUCCAGAGCCUGGGCUCAUGUUGGAAGGCUCCCAGGCACCUUAACGGGCACCCUGCACGUCCGUCCCCCGCCCGCUCUUGGAGCCGUCCCGGCCCCGACCUGCUGUAAUCCGCCCUCCCCGGAGCUGAAGCGGGCCGCACGCGGCACGGAAAAUCUAUGGAAUGUGCCUCAGUGGGGCCUCAGCGUCCUGCCUGGGGCCGGAGAGGAAUGUGGGGGCAGGAGGGCUCUGGCCUCACCUGGCGUUACUGGCACCUGCCUGGACAGGUUCCCUUGUUGAGCACCUGCUGUGUGCCAGGCGCACCGGUAGGCUCGUGGGAUGCAGCGGGGGCAAGGCAGACAAAACCCACAGCGGUGAGCUUCCUCCUGCGGAUUUGGAGGCCUUACCAAAGCCACGCGGUGGACGGAACACGGGCUGUGAGGUCAGGAUUGUGGGGAGCUGCCCCGUGGGGCUCGCAGGGCUCUCUGGUGGGCCGCUGCCUCUGGGGCAGGUGCAGUAGAGGGCCACCCCGGGGCCCCUGUGCUGUUUGUGGGUGGUCCCCACCGUGGACCAUUCGUGCCGGGCCCCGUGCAGGACUGGAGUUCUUGGCCCUCCUCUGCCUGGCUCGGCGGCCCUAGUGCCCUGGUUUGUGGCUUGGACGUGCGAGGCCCGGGCUGGGGCUUUGGGGCUCGGAAGUAUCCCACGCUACCUGGCUCAGCCAUUUCUUAGCCCCGCUUGAGGGCCGUCUCGUCUCCUCGGAGCCCUGCCCUUGCUGAGUUUGCCUCAUUGAGCGCCUGCUGUUUACCAGGCGUGAUGGCAUUGCUUCCCAAGCAUGCCGUCCUGCUGGUAGGCUGGUGGAGCUGGAAUUGUGGACGUGUACCCGAGGAAACUGAGGCUCAGAGGUGUGAGGCUUCCUGCCUGACGAGGGGACAGGGGAUCCCCGUCCCCGGGAAGCCACUUGGCCUCUUCCACCCCAGGGUGGAGCUUCUUCCCGACUUCCCUGGGCUGUGCCUGCUUCUCCUUCUCUGGUGCUGCCGCUCUGAUCCGGCCAGCGUCGUCUCUUGCUUGGAUGCCCGCAGGAGCCCCGAGGUCUCCCGGCUCUCUGUGGCACCUGCUUAUAAAACACACUGACUUCGGCCCAGGUCACGAUCUCGCGGUCCGUGAGUUCGAGCCCCGCGUUGGGCUCUGUGCGGGCAGCUCGGAGCCUGGAGCCCGCUUCGGAUUCUGCGUCUCCCUCUCUCUCUGCCCCUCCCCCGCUCACGCUCUGCCUCUCUCUCUCAAAAAUAAAUAAAUGUUAAAAAAUUAAAAAAAAAAAAAAAAAUAAAACACACCGACUCUUCAUUUCCCCAACCACCGUCUGUGGCUCCUCAGAGCCCUUAGAACAGAACCCAUCCUUGCCGUGGCCCGUGGGCCUUGAGUGACGGUCCCCCCCACCUGCCUCGUGCUCACUCAAUCAGUUACUCAAGCACGGGGUGCCUGGUCUCACCUCUGGGCUCCUGUUUAGGUGGCUGCCGCCGCCUGACUCCCCCCCCCCCCCCCCCCCCCCCCCCCCCCCGCCCCGGCUGUCUUGUGCCCGCUCCGCUCCGGGAACUUCUCCCUUGUCCCCCUUCUCCCCGAGACCCCCUCGCCCUCCCCGAGGCUGGAGUACCCUGAGCGUCCAUCUCCGAGGUCACUGUUUGCUUUCUGCUCCCUGCUGCACCCCACUCCCACCCGGUCGGGGCACCGAGACGCUCGGCAGCUGGGCUCCGCCUCAUUCGCUCAUGUGGGGCUCAGCGCGCAGCGCGGACCCCGAAGUUUCUGUCCAUAAAUGGAUGCGUGCUACCCUCUCUUGACCCCGAAGCCACCAGAUCCGCGGUGGUAUUGGGGCCGCUGUGCCGAGACUGGCUGCAGCCUCGAUCGGUCUUCAGAAGGCCUUCCAGCCCAGACCUGAUCCGGGGCACCCUGCUGAGUCCCCCGGGGCAGCGGGGCGGGGGGGGUCUCCCUCACCCCUCUCCUACCCCCGUCUUUGAUGGAGGUGCGUCCUAGUUUUCCUUGUCAUUCACAUUCAAACCUUGAGGAAGACAUUUGUUUUUCCAUCGACAGUGUUAUGCAAAUACUACCUGUGUCUAAUUUGAACACAUUUCCAUCCCCGCGUGGAGAGCCCGGGUGCCCGUUAGCAGUCACUGCCCACGCCCUCGGCCCUGGCGGCCACCAGUCCGUUUCGGGUCUCUAUGGGGUUGCCUAUUCCGGAUACUUCCUGUAAGGGGACUCCCACACCAGCCGGCCUUUUGUGACCGCCUCCUUUCACGCGGCGUGAUGUUUUCACACCCGCGGUGUGACUGUGUCAGUAGUUCAUUUCUUUUUGUGACUCAGUCGCGUUCCACCGUGUGGACGGACCACAGUUUGUUUAUCCGUUCGUCUGUUGAUGGACUCUUGGGCAGUGUCCACCCCUUGGCUGUUGUGAAUAGUGCAGCUCUGAACGUUCGUAUACAUGUAUUUGUUCGAGUCCCCGUUUUCAGUUCUUUUGGGAACGUGCCCGGGACUGGAAUUGCUGGGUCAUUGGGUAAUUCUGUGUUUAACUUUUGGAGGAACCACCAAAAUGUUUUCCUAAAAAAAAAAAAAAAAAAAAUUUUUUUUUUGAGCUGGCAAGAAAUGUGACUGAGGUUGGGAGGGGUGGAAAUUGGGUUUAUUAAACAAGCUCGUGGUGAAUGGAGGGGGCACCCAGAGUCCCUUGGCUUUGGGGACAACCUAGACGUGAGGACACGGGGCCAGGGAGUGCCAGGGUGACCUGUUGAUGGCUGAGGCCCCUCGAGCUUGGCAGCCGACACACCGUGAGUCUUGAGGGAAUGGGAACCCGGCCAGACCCUGGCCUUGGUGUGAGGAGGGUGGGGUGCCGCUGAGGGUUCUCCAGGGCUGGUUUGGAAAGGUGUCACCUCCCCGGCUUCUGGAGCCCACGUGCACUGCGCGCGUGAGCAUCUGGCAGAGGCCUGCCAUCUCCAGUUGGCGUCUUGUUAGGCAAAGGAAGUUAGAAAAGCUGUGGGUAAAUCAGACUUCUUUGCCGCCUUAUGCAAUGCAAAAUCAAACAGCCAUUUGGAAGCUCCCCCACUGCGCUUGGAGGAGGGGCGACCAGUGGGAGCCUCUCCCUGCCGAGGUGCUGGCCUCAGCUCCUCGGAGAGCCCGGAGAGAAAGCAGAACGGAACUUGCGUGACCAGGAUCCACUGGGCUCCGAGAUGGAUGGGAGCAAUGGGAAUUCUGGAACGGGGUCCGGAAGUGGCCACACCUGCCCCUCUCCCCAGGCCGGUUUCUUGUCUCUGGGCUAUCGGACAGAUGUCACGUUGCCCUCGGUGGGAACUGGCAGGGCGCCCCCCCCCCCGCUCCCCCCAUCAGAGCAUCACUGUCACUAGGCUGGAGCCACUGCAGAGACAGUACUAGGGGAAGUGAUACUAACAGCGUCUGUUAGCUGAGCAGGAUUUGGUCCCGUGUUUAUAAAAAUUACAGGGCACAUCCUGUCUCGGUGGCUGGGAAAAGCCCACGUGGGCAACUUGCUGAGGUGCCCGUAGGUGCAUUGAUCUGUGACUCCUUCCUUCCCUGGCUGAGUCAGACUUCUGGUGGCAAGCGACAGAAACCCAGGUUGGGCCGGCGAAGGCCAAGCACGCGGCCGUCUCUGCUCUCUAAGCGAGCGAGCAGGCUUCGCCUUCAGGCCUGGCUGUCAUCAGGACCCCGCCGCGCUCCCUCCGCCCUUCCGCUCUGGCUUCCUGCCGGCCGGCGUCGUUGCUCGGCGGGCAUCUGCUGUGAGAUGGCCCCCAGAACCGCAGGCUUUCGAGCUCCUGGUUCCGGGCCAAGCUGGUUCCUCCAGCCAGAGUCUCAAGACUGCCUCUCAUUGGCCUAGUUUGGGCCGCGGGCGCAUCCCUCGACCAAUCCCUGGCCCGGGGGAUGCAGGACUUGGAUUGGCCAGGCCCGGGUCACGUGACUACUUCCCGAGCGCCGGUGGGAGGCCGGAGGAUGGUUCCAGAAAGGAAGGUCACAUCUACCUACAGUGGCGGGAAAGAUGGGGGUUGGGAGGGGGACGCCACCAGAGCCUCAGAUGGGGGUCUCGUUCCUCCUCUGACCACCGCGACCUCAGCCCUCCGUCCCAGUUCGAGACGGCCACGGGGCCCAUCGCCAGGGGAGGGGCCCGGCGUCUUCCCGUGGGGAAGGACAGUUGUGAACCCGGGGCAGGGCGAGGAGGGGCGUCGUGAGAUGCAGCCCCAGCCUUGCCCGGCGCACCGGGGCGUCCAGGUGCCAGGCCCCUGCGCCAUCUUGGAUUUUUCUAGCGGGGGGCGGGGCUGCACGUGCGGGGCCGGGGGAGGGGGGAGGGAGGAGGGGCCGUGGCCGUGCCCGGCUCUCACCGUGGGCGAGGGCAGGCGGCCCAGGGGUGGGGGGAUGGAGGCCCCCCCCAGAGAUUUCUGGGCAAAGGCAGCUUCUGACUAAGGGCCUCCUGGCGCCCUUGAGUCCUUUCUUCCAACCGAGACUCAGUUUCCCCAGCUCUAAAAGCAUGGGACUGCUUCUUGAGAUUUUUUUCCAGCCUGGACAUGGGUGUUUUCUGUCCCAUGGAAGGUACAGUUUAUCCAUUCCCCCUGCCGCGGCUCUUGUCUGGGUCCUUAGCUGUUUCCCCAACGCGGCCCCCGGCUGCCCAGUCCCCCCACUCCCAGCUCUGCUCCUGCACGGGGUCACGCGGAGGCCCAGGCAGGCCCGGCCUUGCCCGGGGUCACGCUGUGACCCGUGUCCUGCCCGAGCUGACCCUGCCCACCGUGGCCAGGGACGCAACCGUGCGCCUCACCCUGGCGGUGCCUCUCAGGACAGGCCCCCAGCUGCCUGCCUGAACUGGGUGCUUUCCGAGAACUUUGCCCUGGUGACUCGGAAAUCUGCAGGGGCCGUGGGGUGAGGUCGGGUGGGCCGUGGGGGCUCGGGACCCUUCGGGGAGUGGUGGGGCAGUGUUCACAGGGUUGGGGUUCCUGUGCCUGCUGAGCCAGGGCCUUGGUCGUGGGUGGGGGGCGUGUCUGGCCUGGUCUGUGGCUUGGGGGUCCCCCAGAUGCCAUGUUGCCACCUCCUGCUGUCGGUGGGCAGGAAGCGCCCAGCGGCUUGGAGGAGGAGGAGGGUCAGGAGGACCUGUGUGCUUGCUUUUCCUCAGGGACCAAAGGAACUAUUAGGGGGCCCCACCAGGGUCCUUGGAGGGAACACUGUCGCGUGGCUGAUCUUGUUUCUUUUCUGCUUUUUUCUCAGGUUCCUGUGACAGGGCGGCCCGUGAGCAGAUGAGGAGGACUGGCUUUUAACCUUGGUGGCCAUCGAGAGGGAGAUUGUUGGGGCCCAAGAGCCCCCAGACGCUCGCCGCCAUGUCGGGGUCCACGCAGCCCGUGGCGCAGACGUGGAGGGCCACCGAGCCCCGCUACCCGCCCCAUGGCAUUUCUUACCCUGUGCAGAUCGCCCGGCCCCACA
rnacentral:lncRNA from 1 species